ACUUAGCUCGGGGGCCGGCGAGGCGACGCGCCUUGGGCAACCGGCGCCCGAGUUAAAAGUCGUAAGGGUCGUGCAGUCGCAACUCCGCAGAGCCGGCGGUACGGCCUUUUCCCUGCGAAAGGCCCAGCUCCAUGCGUGCUCACUGAGGAAUAAACCCCACGGAUGAUUUCACGGGGACUCGUAAAGGAAGAGAGGUCCCAGAAUUAGAAGAAUUACCAACUGUGGAUGUGGCUGUCGUCUUCCUAAAGAAACAGUUAUCAUGGACGAGCCUGCAGUGCGGCAUGGG